UAAUACGUAGGGUGCGAGCGUUAAUCGGAAUUACUGGGCGUAAAGGGUGCGUAGGCGGUUUGAUAAGUCUGAUGUGAAAUCCCCGGGCUCAACCUGGGAACGGCAUUGGAGACUGUCAAGCUAGAGUGUGUCAGAGGGGGGUAGAAUUCCACGUGUAGCAGUGAAAUGCGUAGAGAUGUGGAGGAAUACCGAUGGCGAAGGCAGCCCCCUGGGAUAACACUGACGCUGAAGCACGAAAGCGUGGGGAGCAAACAGGAUUAGAUACCCUGGUAGUCCACGCCCUAAACGAUGUCAACUAGCUGUUGGGGGUUUGAAUCCUUGGUAGCGAAGCAAACGCGAGAAGUUGACCGCCUGGGGAGUACGGCCGCAAGGUUA
rnacentral:rRNA from 1 species